ensembl:lncRNA
UCCAGCUCCAUAACCACCUGGGCCAGCCCCGUAACCUCCGGGUCCCACUCCGUAACCUCCCGGACCAGUACCAAAGCCACCAGGACCAGCUCCAUAUCCGCCAGGUUUUGCGAAUCCUGUUCCUACUCCACCAGCCCCAGGUACCAGGCCUGCUCCUCCAGGACCUCGUCCAGCUGACCCAACUCCUCCUGCAAGUCCACCAGCUCCACCAGCUGCACCUCCUGAUCCAAGUCCAGUUCCAGUAGCAGGACCGUCUCCUCUUCCUACUGCUGUUGCACCACCAGAAACACCUCCUGCUGGUCCUGCUCUGGUAGGUCCCCCUCCUACUCCUCCUGGCCCUCCACCUGUGCCUCCUGUACCACCUCUCUCUCCAUCGGGGCCAUCUUCUCCAUCUCCUUCACCUGGUGUGUCACCUCGAGGGACACCUGCAGACGGAGCCCAGAUGAUCACCAGACCAGUUUUGAGUAUAGAACUAAGACUGGAACCAAGGACUGAGUCUAGGACAAGGGAAUCUAUUCUACUAGGAGCCUGGACAUCUCUAUCACCUCCUGCACCUACUGGUCUGCCAGCUACACCAGUAACUCCUGUUUUAAUGUGAGCAUUGUCAUGGAUGGACACCUCUUUGUAGGAAAUACAGUGCAG